UGACACUUUCCAGGUGAUUCCAAUGUCCAGGAUGCAGUCCACUGCUCCUAGCUCCAGCGUGGAGGAUAGAUUGAAAGGAGAGAUUCUAAGGAAGUCUCUUUCAACAAGAGAACAAGACAGAGAUGGGAGGAGUACAGUUCACAGAGAUGAGAGGUGCUGCAGUCAAAUCCCAGAGACAGUGCAGGAUCCAGAAACAAAGUGCCAGAAGCCGGGAUGCUGACAUAGAGAUGGAAGAAGAGGGAACUACUUGGCAUGAUCCCUGAAAGCAGAGUGGGGCCUUAGACUCAUAUAAUCUGGUGACAGUGAGUAUCAGGGGGUUUCCCCGCACCAACCAAUUCCCCAACUCUCCAGACACCAACUGGGUGCCUCACAAUUCAUUUGCGACACUGAUCACCUAAUGUAAGCACAGACUCCACAGGUUAAGGGCUCAGCCCCACAAGAUCACCCACGCUUCAGCCACCAACCACCAAGAGUGGAUCUCCAGGUUACUCACAGUUCCAUCCAACUUGGCAACAAAUCUGGGGUUCUCACAACCCCCUCCUCAGGUUCAACAAUAUGAUAGCUCACAGAACUCAGGGAAAGACUUACUCACAUUUACCAGUUUAUGACAAAGGACUUGAUAGAAUAAACACAUGAACAGCCAGAUGAAGAUCUUGCAUGUAGGGCAAGCUCCAGAGGGCGUGAGCACGGGAGCUUCUGUCCCCAUGGACUUCGGUCGUGCCACCUUUCCAACACAUGACACGUUCACUGACCCAGAAGUUCUCCCAUUUUGCCUUUUAGGGAUUUUUAUGGCUGCUUCAUCACGUGGGCUUGACGGAUUACUAACUCAGUCUCCAUCUCCUCUCGUCUCUCUGGAGCAUGGGGAGUGGGGCUGAAAGACCUAAGCUUCUAAUCAUGGUUUGGUCUUCCUGGCAAUCAGCCCCCACCCUGACAUUGUUCAGGGGCUUACAGAGAGCCACCUCAGAUUAGGACAAAAGACGUUCUUAUCACCUAGGAAAUUCCAAGGGACUUAGGAACUCUGUGUCAGGAACUGGGGUCAAAGACAAAAUAUUAGAACAAAAAAAAUGCUCCUAGCACCGCUAUCGCUCAGGAAAUGAGAAGAAUGUUAGAAGCUCUGUGCCAGAAACCAGGGAAAAAUAAAUAUAAAUAUAUCUAUAUAUUUCUGUUGUCACAGUGGGUCAGCCUACUGUGACCUCAUAUGCAUCCACAGACUUAUGAUGUCCCACCUGCAAACUUGACUCUCAGAGCAUGUCAGCCUCAAGUCAGCUAGCUCAGCCUCCCUCCUCAGCCACUCUGCAGGAGUUCAGGGAGCAGGAACUCUGGUAUCAGAGAGACUCAGGCCAAGACUCUGCCACUCACCCAGGCAUGUCACCUCUCAGAGACUUCAUUUCCUCCCUUCUAAUAGGGGAAGAAUGGUGCCUACUCAUAGGGCUACUGUGAGGAUACAUCAGGCAGCGUAAGUAAAGUACUCCCUUCUCUACAAUGGUAGCACAACCAGCUGACUAAAAAUCAGUUCGUUCAUUCAUUCAACUGGAAUGUGAGUAAACAACAAAGACCUUGGGAAAUGUCGACUGUCACGGUCCUUGAUUUUCCUCACUCUCUAUGGUGCUACAGUGGCAAAACAGUGGGUACCCCCACUGCCCAUCAUCCUGGAGCAGAAAUGAGGGGGCCCUUGGAAACGGACCACACAGAGGCUUCCUCUGGGGACCUGGCUGGUGCAGUGUGGCGAGACCAGGAGGUCAGUUCUCAUGGUGGAGGUUGUCAAGCACUGAUGAUGAGUGGUACGGGGGGGUUUUGGCUAAUCAAUCACAUGGUUUUGCUCCCUGAGAUCUGAGCCACUUGACAAAUAGACACAAGGUCAAAAAACACCAGGUUUUCAAGGUGAGCUGGACUGAAGAAUGCAAUGUGGACCUGCCUGUUUCCCCCCACCCAACAAAGUACACCCUAACCCUGAUCAUGACACUAAUUGCAACCCUAACCCUAAUCCUAGCCCACCCUGGCACCCCAUGCAGGGGCUGGCUGGGAGCCCCAAGAAGGAGCACACAGAUCCUGAUGCAGUCUGGAAGAAUAAAGCGAGCCCACCGGAAUGAACACCUGCAUUCUUGCCUGAGUGACAACCUACCAUGAGGACAAGUAAAGAGGAGGAGAGAGAGGCCGGGCACAGUGGCUCACUCCUGCCAUCCCAGCACCUUGGGAGGCUGAGGCAGGUGGAUCACCUGAGGUCAGGAGUUCAAGACCAGCCUGGCCAACAUAGUGAAAC
rnacentral:lncRNA from 10 species